AUACGGAGGAUCCGAGCGUUUUCCGGAUUUAUUGGGUUUAAAGGGUGCGCAGGCGGCCAUUUAAGUCAGCGGUUAAAUCGUGGGGCUCAACCCCAUUCUGCCGUUGAUACUGGCAGCCUUGAGUACAGUUGAGGUAGGCGGAAUUCGUGGUGUAGCGGUGAAAUGCUUAGAUAUCACGAAGAACUCCGAUUGCGAAGGCAGCCUACUAAACUGCCACUGACAUUGAUGCUCGAAAGUGUGGGUAUCAAACAGGAUUAGAUACCCUGGUAGUCCACACGGUAAACGAUGAAUACUCGCUGUUUGCGAUACACUGCAAGCGGCCAAGCGAAAGCGUUAAGUAUUCCACCUGGGGAGUACGCCGGCAACGGUGAAACUCAAAUGAAUUGGCGGGG
rnacentral:rRNA from 1 species